AUGAGAUUAGUGCAAGGCCUUCUUCAUGUGUCAGCCUUAGAUGGUUUUUGUUCUCUUGUUCUUUCUUGAGCAGAGUUGAAAAAAGAAAUAGACAACAGCUUCAGGAUGAAAGCCUUGUUUUUGGAAGUCACUUGAUAUAUCCUUAAUUGCCUUUUCCACAUAAGCUGAUAUCAUAUUGGCUUACAUCUACUUAUUAAUUCUAUGGACCGAAGCUGUCUGCUGGCUUCCCUAUCCACUAUCAGGGCAGAUAGAAUUCCCCAGAGUCCUGCUGCAAGCAUAGAAGAGCCUCCCCCUGACUAGGGCCCUGUCCCAAGCCCUGCAGCUCGCAGGAAGAACCCCUCCUGCGCUUGUUCACAUCAUGCUUUUCCAGCCCAUCUUGGGUGGAGCUUGAAGGAAUCAUGUUAAGUGAGAUAAGUCAGAAACAAAAGAAUGAAUAUGGGAUGAUCUCAGUCACAGGAAGAAGUUGAAAAACAAGAUCAGAAGAGAAAACACUAAGCAGAGCUUGGCCUGGAGUUGGUGUACUGCACCAAAUUAAAAGACUCUGGGGUGAUUGGAGGGGGAGAGUUCAGGUCAUGGAACUUGAUGGCAGAGGACC